rnacentral:tRNA from 1 species
UGUGUUCGUAGCUCAGUUGGAUAGAGCAACGGCCUUCUAAGCCGUGGGUCGGGGGUUCGAAUCCCUUCGAGCACGU